rnacentral:rRNA from 1 species
CAGUAGCCACGGUAAUACGAAGGGGGCUAGCGUUGUUCGGAUUUACCGGGCGUAAAGGGCGCGUAGGCGGACUGAUAAGUCAGGGGUGAAAUCCCAAGGCUCAACCUUGGAACUGCCUUUGAUACUGUUUGUCUUGAGUUCGAGAGAGGUAAGUGGAACUGCGAGUGUAGAGGUGAAAUUCGUAGAUAUUAGGAGGAACACCGGCGGCGAAGGCGGCUUUCUGGACUGUAACUGACACUGAGGCACGAAAGCGUGGGUAGCAAACAGGAUUAGAUACCCCAGUAGUCCCUGUCUCUUAUAC